UACGAAGGGGGCUAGCGUUGCUCGGAAUCACUGGGCGUAAAGCGCACGUAGGCGGAUCGUUAAGUCAGGGGUGAAAUCCUGGAGCUCAACUCCAGAACUGCCUUUGAUACUGGCGAUCUUGAGUUCGAGAGAGGUGAGUGGAACUGCGAGUGUAGAGGUGAAAUUCGUAGAUAUUCGCAAGAACACCAGUGGCGAAGGCGGCUCACUGGCUCGAUACUGACGCUGAGGUGCGAAAGCGUGGGGAGCGAACAGG
rnacentral:rRNA from 1 species